rnacentral:tRNA from 1 species
GGGAAUGUGGCUCAGUGGUAGAGUGCUUGCCUAGCACACAUGAAGCCAUGGGUUCAAUUCCACAGUACCA